GGGUGUCCGCCGCCACUGCGGCGAACAGGCAUUGCGCUGGUCGGGCCGCCGCG
rnacentral:ncRNA from 1 species